UACGUAGGGGGCAAGCGUUGUCCGGAAGCAUUGGGCGUAAAGCGCGCGUAGGUGGCUUCGUAAGUCCGUUGUGAAAGUCAAAGGCUCAACCUUUGAAAGCCGAUGGAUACUGUGAAGCUAGAGUACGGAAGAGGCGAGUGGAAUUCCUGGUGUAGCGGUGGAAUGCGCAGAUAUCAGGAGGAACACCAAUAGCGAAGGCAGCUCGCUGGGACGUUACUGACACUGAGGCGCGAAAGCGUGGGGAGCGAACAGG
rnacentral:rRNA from 1 species